GAGUUUGAUCCUGGCUCAGAAUGAACGUUGGCGGCGUGGAUUAGGCAUGCAAGUCGAACGGGUCCGGUCUUCGGAUCGGAUCAGUGGCGCAAGGGUGAGUAAUGCGACGGUAACCAACCCCAUGGUUGGGCAUAGCCGCGGGAAACUGCGGGUAAUACCCAGCGAAGUUCGCGGGGGGCAUCCCCUGGGAACCAAAGUUCCAACGCCGUGGGACGGACCGUCGUGGUAUUAGGUUGUUGGCGGGGUAACGGCCCACCAAGCCUCUGAUGCCUACCGGGCGUGCGAGCGCGACCCGGCACACUGGGACUGAGACACUGCCCAGACUCCUACGGGAGGCUGCAGUCGAGAAUCUUCGGCAAUGGGCGCAAGCCUGACCGAGCGACGCCGCGUGGAGGAUGAAGGCCUUCGGGUUGUAAACUCCUGUCGAGGGGGAGGAAGGCGCAAGCUUGACCUAUCCCUGGAGGAAGCACGGGCUAAGUUCGUGCCAGCAGCCGCGGUAAGACGAACCGUGCGAACGUUAUUCGGAAUCACUGGGCUUAAAGCGCGUGUAGGCGGAUGGGGACGUCGGUAGCUGAAAUCCCCCGGCUCAACCGGGGAAGUGGCGCCGAAACGCCUCGUCUGGAGGGACGUAGGGGGACCUGGAACUUCCGGUGGAGCGGUGAAAUGCGUUGAGAUCGGAAGGAACGCCCGUGGCGAAAGCGAGGUCCUGGACGUCUACUGACGCUGAGACGCGAAAGCUAGGGGAGCGAACGGGAUUAGAUACCCCGGUAGUCCUAGCUGUAAACGAUGGGCACUGGGUAGGGGGCUCGCCGAUGGGCUCUCUGCCGCAGGGAAACCGUGAAGUGCCCCGCCUGGGGAGUAUGGUCGCAAGGCUGAAACUCAAAGGAAUUGACGGGGGCUCACACAGCCGGUGGAGCAUGUGGCUCAAUUCGAGGCUACCGAAGAACCUUAUCCUGGCUUGACAUGCACGGAUUAGCUGGCGGAAACGUCGUGACGCCGCAGGUGGAACGUGCAC
rnacentral:rRNA from 1 species